GCGGUGCGGGCAGGCCAUGCCUGGGGACUCUCCGCCGCUGUGGGAGCUGGUGGAAGAGCACGUUCCGCUCCCGGAACGGCCCGAAGUGAAGAGGAUUCUAGGGGAGACGACGGUGGACCUGAGCCUGGAGCUGCGGGCAGAGGUGGGGCGUGGGAAUGUGGGCUCCACUCCAGGCCUAUCCCACGACUUGGGUGAUUUCCUCACCUCCUCCGGGUCCCUGGCUCUGCCCGGUAACUUUCGAGCUCUUGUCGGAUCUCACUGUCCACCCAGCCCUCUGGCUACCAGUUUAACUCUGCACUGACCCUCACUCCCCUAGCUCCCCUUCCUCCCCUUACUUCUGCCCCGCAGUCGCAAGGGGUCCCAGCUCUCCUUGCAGGUGGUGGUGCUACGAUCACUGCUCCGAGAGGCUCGAUCCUUCCAAGCCCCUGGUUCGCGCCCCACCUCUGACCUCUCCUCCCUUCUGGCACCACCGCCCCUCCUAAGAGACCUCGUGCGCCAGGAACUGCGGCAGCUGCUCCAAGGUCUCCGUGGGAAGGCCAUCUGGACCAGACCCAGGCUUGGGUCCAGUAUAGCCCCGGGGUCCUGCGCUUUGCCUUGGAGGAGCCCAGGCGUGAUUUGCCAGAGCAGGGGAUAUUCCGCCUGAGAGCUGGUGAGCCCAGCUGUCACAGGGACCUCAGCGUCAUCAAGGACCAACUGAACGUGUCCCACGUUGACCAGGUUGCCGGAUACCUGCGGUGAGGCCCCUGAGUGUGUGCAGUGGGGGUCGGGACAAGGAGGGUGGGACGGGGGAUGGAUCCUAACGUACUGGGACUAUGAGGAAGGAGGAGGGAGGCAGCAUACCUGAUGGGGAGACCCAGGAGAGUAGGGCUGAGAGGUGGAAGGGGCAGGGUGCUGGUGAGGUUGCUGCCAGGAAGUAGCCAAGUAGGGAUGCCAGCAGGGGCCUUGGCCUGAGGACUUUUAUCCUGGGGUGUGGGAGAGAGAUGGACCACAGAAGAGUCUUUUAAACAGGGGAAGGGCUGUGAUCUGGGGGAGAAUGGAGGCAGGAGGACUUGCAGGCCCAAUACUGUCGUGAAGAAGAGAGAAUGGGGCCCCCCAGCUUGGGCGCUGGGAGGUGGGCAAGGAGAGGACACGUCCUGCCCAGGAAGAGGCCGGCGGGGCUGCAAGGCCGUGCUGGGAUUGCACUUGGGCAGCAGAGGGAGAGGUGGGCUGAGAAAGGAGGGCCUAGAGGGAACUCCUGGUAAGGCUGGAGGCUGGGUCUGUGUGGCGGGCUCUGCUGUGACCCGGGCCUGCAGCACUGCUGCCGGUGCCACACUCCCCCAUGUCCCAGGGCCCUCCUGGAGGAGGAGUGUUGCAAGUUGAAGAGGGAGAUUGCCAUCCUGCAGGUGAGCGGCAGCCCUGGGCCUCCCCACCCCCAGAGCCUUUCUGCUGAGCCUAGACACACCCGUCUCUCACCUGGUGUGUGAGAUCCACAUGCAUGUGUGUGUGUGUAUGUGUGUGCAAAGAUUGUGUGAGUCCUCUGUCCAUUUCUCCUGUAUGCACACUUCCCGUACGUGUGAAUCCAGAUUCUGGUUGAGUCCCUAAGUCCAAGGUCGGCACUUUUAGAUUAACCUGCUGGAUUUGCCCCUGGUCUUUUGCCUCCUUCUCUUCCCCAUGUCUGGGUUCGGGCCUGCCACUACCUUGCCAAGCUCAGCUUUUCAGGGAGGCUGGUGUUCCUCUCAGGAGUGUCCUCAGGUGGCUGGGAUGAGGAGGCUGCAUGGGGUGGUUCCUGGGCCCCACCAUGGGUAUCUUGGCCUCUGCAUCCUGCCCCGCCCCACCCCACCCCGCCCCUGCCUGUAAGGCUGGGCACUGAGCCAGCUCUCCCUGCAGCGCCGCCUGGAAGAGGAGUAUACAGGGGCCCCUUGGCCCUCUGAGGCAACCCUAGAGCCCACCCUGGCAGAGCUACAAGAACAGAAGGCAGCCAUGCAACAGGAGCUGCGGGCACCUCUGAGGCCUUCCUGUGUCUCCCCUGGUCACAG